CAGCAGCCGCGGUAAAACGAAGGGUGCAAGCGUUACUCGGAAUUACUGGGCGUAAAGCGUGCGUAGGUGGUGGUUUAAGUCCGUUGUGAAAGCCCUGGGCUCAACCUGGGAAUUGCAGUGGAUACUGGAUCACUAGAGUGUGGUAGAGGAUAGUGGAAUUUCCGGUGUAGCAGUGAAAUGCGUAGAGAUCGGAAGGAACAUCUGUGGCGAAGGCGACUAUCUGGGCCAACACUGACACUGAGGCACGAAAGCGUGGGGAGCAAACAGGAUUAGAUACCCCCGUAGUCCCUGUCUCUUAUAC
rnacentral:rRNA from 1 species